rnacentral:rRNA from 1 species
AUUGAACGCUGGCGGUAUGCUUAACACAUGCAAGUCGAACGGUAACAGGCCUUCGGGUGCUGACGAGUGGCGGACGGGUGAGUAACGCGUAGGAAUCUGCCUCAUAGUGGGGGACAACGUGUGGAAACGCACGCUAAUACCGCAUACGCCCUACGGGGAAAAGCGGGGGACCUUUUGGCCUCGCGCUAUGAGAUGAGCCUGCGUUAGAUUAGCUAGUUGGUAGGGUAAAGGCCUACCAAGGCGACGAUCUAUAGCGGGUCUGAGAGGACGAUCAGCCACACUGGGACUGAGACACGGCCCAGACUCCUACGGGAGGCAGCAGUGGGGAAUAUUGGACAAUGGGCGCAAGCCUGAUCCAGCAAUACCGCGUGUGUGAAGAAGGCCCUAGGGUUGUAAAGCACUUUCAAUAGGGAGGAAAACCUGUCGGUCAAUACCCGGCAGCUUGACAUUACCUAUACAAGAAGCACCGGCUAACUCCGUGCCAGCCGCCGCGGUAAUAC